AACUUAUCGUAGGAUACAUAAUAGCCCCUUCAACAGACGAAUGUCCUAACCCUAAAACAUGUCCUAUUUCAUGAACCGCAACGAAUUCCAAAUCAAUAGCGUUAGACAAAGAUGACUCCCUUACGUCUCCGUUAACCACCCAGUCUUCGGAUUUAUCUAAAUGGAACCUUCCGUCAGUCGGUGAAAACGCGUGUGCUAACGUCCCUAACACGCCGUCAAAUGGUUCUCCGUCUCCGUGGUCGCCACUGUAGAAUCCUAUUUUUAUAUCCGCGCCUCGAUACGACGUGGUUUCUGUGAAUGUUAUUGUUGUUACUUUCGACCAUUGGUUAAACGCGUUUGCGAAUACUUGUUUCGUUGCGUCGUCGAGAUUCUCGUUUGGAUCGAAUGCGUAGGUUAGGGUUCUUGUUCCCGCCGGCCACCGUGGCUUACCGGGGAAGAAUGCCGUAAUGCAUCGACCUUCACCCUCACCACGACAUCACCAAGAACAGGUUCGAAAACCAUUUCGAAAUCUCGCUUCUUCAUUCACGCCUUCUUUCGAAUCUCAAACCAUGGAACUCUCCUUACGCACAGAUGAGAGAAGGUGAAUGGAGAAAAAACCUACUGAAUGAUUCCGACACGGUGACUUCAGAUUCUCUGUUGGUGUUCUGUGAAGGAGUGAGGUUGGAUUUGUUGACGAUUGGAGUUAGGUUGAAGUUGAAUGAAAUGGUCAUUUGGAGAGGUUGAUUUUCGGUUAGCAGGGUUGAAGAGUUGGCUAUGGAAGGUGGAAUCUGCAGAAUGAAGAUUAAAGUGUGAAGGGUGAAGAGUUCUGAGGAUUGAAGAAUCAAAUUGAGAGUCCAGACUAAAGAAUGAAUUUGAGUGGGUUAGAUUUUGUUUGGAAAAUUGCAAAUGCAGGUUGGAUAUGUUAUGUAGUUCUGCAGGUUGAUGCAGUUGGAAAUUCGGCCGCCAAGCAAAUCCUGCAUACUGUCAUGCUGAAUUAUCGGAGGGAAUUGAUGUAUUAUGCCCACUGAUUUCAAGAGUUGGCUAUGGAAGGUGGUUGCAGAAUGAAACAGAUGGACAAAGUGAAGAUGAAAUGAAACAGUUUCAAGAGGAAUCUGCAGAAUGAAGAUGAAAGUGUGAAGGGUGAAGAGUUCUGAGGAUUGAAGAAUCAAAUUGAGAGUCCAGACUAAAGAAUGAAUUUGAGAUGGCUUUUGAAUUGUAUGGUAUGCUUGCUGGUAAUGUUAGUCCAAUGACGGGAGCCAGCCUAUGGAGGUGAAGAGGAGGCUUUCUUAAGUAAAGUUGUAACUCCCAUAUAUAAUGUGAUUGCAAAGGAAGCUGAAAGGACCAAAAGAGGGAGGUCAAAGCAUUCACAAUGGAGAAAUUAUGAUGAUAUAAAUGAAUAUUUCUGGUCAGCGGAUUGUUUUCGGCUUGGUUGGCCAAUGCGAGCUGAUGCUGAUUUCUUUUGCCUUCCAGUUGAACAACUAUACUUUGAUAAGUUGAAGGGUAACAAGCCAGAUAAUAGGGACCGAUGGGUUGGAAAGGGCAACUUUGUUGAGAUAAGGUCCUUUUGGCAUAUUUUCAGAAGUUUUGAUCGCAUGUGGAGUUUUUUCAUUCUAAGCUUACAGGCUAUGAUUAUUGUUGCUUGGAAUGGAAAUGGGGAUCUAAGUGCAAUAUUUAAUGGUAAUGUUUUCAAGAAGGCACUUAGCGUGUUUAUAACAGCAGCUAUAUUAGCUAUAUUAAAGCUUGGACAAGUUUCAAUCAAGAAGACACACUCUUGAUCUUGCUUCACAGCUUUGAUCAAGAAGACAUACACUUAUCUUGCUUCACAACUUUGAUCAAGUAGACACACAUUCUUGCUUAACAGCUUUAGAGUGACAAAUUACAACCACAAAUCAGUCCAAUUCAAUCAUCAAAAGAUGACUUGAAUGACUUACAAGUCUCACGACUAAACAGACACAAUCCCUAGAUCUCUCUCUAUAU